UGUGUCAACGGUAAGCGGACAGAUCGAAGCGAUAGCGAAGAGAAGGAGCAUUAAGGAGUUGAUACACUCACAAUG
rnacentral:ncRNA from 1 species